rnacentral:tRNA from 1 species
GAGGGUGUAGCUCAGUAGUAGAGUGCAUGUUUAGCAUGCAUGAGGUCCUAGGUUCAAUCCCCAGUACCUCCA